rnacentral:piRNA from 1 species
UGGACAACCAGACGCUGGGCGUGUGCCA